rnacentral:rRNA from 2 species
AGUGAGUGGCGGACGGGUGAGUAACACGUGGGUAACCUGCCCUAAAGUGGGGGAUAACAUUUGGAAACAGAUGCUAAUACCGCAUAAAACCUAACACCGCAUGGUGUAGGGUUGAAAGAUGGUUUCGGCUAUCACUUUAGGAUGGACCCGCGGUGCAUUAGUUAGUUGGUGAGGUAAAGGCUCACCAAGACCGUGAUGCAUAGCCGACCUGAGAGGGUAAUCGGCCACACUGGGACUGAGACACGGCCCAGACUCCUACGGGAGGCAGCAGUAGGGAAUCUUCCACAAUGGACGAAAGUCUGAUGGAGCAACGCCGCGUGAGUGAAGAAGGUUUUCGGAUCGUAAAACUCUGUUGUUGGAGAAGAAUGUAUCUGAUAGUAACUGAUCAGGUAGUGACGGUAUCCAACCAGAAAGCCACGGCUAACUACGUGCCAGCAGCCGCGGUAAUACGUAGGUGGCAAGCGUUGUC